rfam:Sphingomonas sanxanigenens NX02, complete genome.
GCACCCGUAGCUCAGCUGGAUAGAGCGCUGCCCUCCGAAGGCAGAGGCCAGGGGUUCGAAUCCCUUCGGGUGCG